CGCGGAAUUGAGUGACCGAUCCUGGCUUGGCACCGCUGGAAUCGAGAGAUGCAAGGAGGGAAUGGUCCCAUGGUUCCGAGCAACCUGCCAGCUAACCUGUCAGCAAAAUGGACCAUUCAGCAGACCUGUUUGAUCACUAGAGACUACUAUGGACUGUUGAUAUAUUUGCCAUUACUUAUAAUAGCAGGUGUAAUUUUUGCUUUUGGUUUUAAAAUAAGUUUUUUUAGCUAAAACCCGACCCACCCGAGAUAUGUUCCUGCAAGCCCUCAUGAUCCUUCUGUUGGCUCCAGUUACCUUGGCAAUACCAGAACAUCCUCUUCGGGGAGCAAUCCAAACCAUCGCCUCAGCUGCUGGUGCUACAAAUUGCUGGAUGUGCACCUUGCUAAAUUCAACCAAUGGACUGGGAAUUGAAUUUGUA